GAUAAACGCUAGCGGCAGGCCUAAUACAUGCAAGUCGAACGGGUUUUUGGAUUUAUUCAAGACUAGUGGCGCACGGGUGAGUAACACGUACACAACAUACCCAUGAUCGGGGGAUAGCCUUGGGAAACUGAGAGUAAUACCCUAUAGUAUUGACUGGAGGCAUCUUUGGUUGAUUAAAGCUGAGGCGAUGAUGGAUUGGUGUGCGUCUGAUUAGGUAGUUGGUGGGGUAACGGCCUACCAAGCCGACGAUCAGUAGGGGGCGUGAGAGCGUGAUCCCCCACACGGGUACUGAGAUACGGACCCGACUCCUACGGGAGGCAGCAGUAAAGGAAUAUUGGUCAAUGCCCGAAGGGUGAACCAGCCAUGCCGCGUGCAGGAUGACGGCCCUA
rnacentral:rRNA from 1 species